rnacentral:lncRNA from 1 species
GACCUUAGGUCUCGCUUUCCUAAGUGGGGCCUCGCUGGACUGGAGUCUUAAAGUUGCAGUACUUUUUCCGGCUUUCAGUUAUUUUCUUACUUAACUGUUGAAGGAUUAAAUGAUUAGAACUCAGCCUCCCGAUGAUUUCUUGAAGUAGAGGAGAGGACGCUCCAGCUGCUAAAGUUCUCCGCACUUUCACGUUCAUUCUCCCACUCCUUGCGCACUUUAAGAAGAAAGCUGCCUCACAAGGUAGCCUCUAAAAUGGAGGGGAAACACAGUAUGCACAUUUCCAGCAUGCUGACAAGAGUCUUUCAGCAACUUUCUGAUGGAAGGAUCUCCUUGGAGAGCCUGUGGCUCCUCUCCUGAGAAAGUCUCCAAGAUGUAACCCCCACAAAAAUAAAAAUAAAUAAAAAUGCAAAGAGGCCGGGCGUGGUGGUGCAGGCCUGUAAUCCCAGCACUCAGAGGCUGAGGCAGGAGGAUUGCUGUGAGUUCGACCAGCCUGGACUACAUAGUGAGUUCCAGGUCAGUCUCAACUAUACAGUGAGACCCUGUUUCAAAAAGAAUAAAAAUUAAAAUUAAAAAAAAGAAAGUCUCCUAGAUGCAACCAGAAUAAAGGCAAGUCUGGGUUGUGUCCCUG